rnacentral:misc_RNA from 1 species
GCGUGAAUGUAUUUGUGUUUUAUAUUUUGAGGUUUUAUUAGAAAUUGAGUGGGUAAUGCGUUUUGGGUUUAGGGUUUAGCUUCAUCAAAAUGAAUUUUGUGUGCCUUUGUUGCGUUAUUCGUUAAGUAUUUUAUUUUAUUUUUUUUCUGUUUUAUGUACGCAGCCACUGGAUUUUGAUGUGAUUGUGGCAUUACAUUCUAAUGGAAAACGAAUAUGUACUUUGCAGUAGAGUCAAUUUUGUAAAUGGAAUCUCUUUGGUUUAAGUUAAUUAAGAAUUUAAGUUUGGAAGCCAGUAACUAUUGAAUUCAAUCUAUUUUUUGCAGCUACUUUUGCACAAGGGUUGCGCUUUCCCCUACUCUUCAUUGUUUGGUUUUUUCUUUUUUUUUUUU